UCGUAGUCAACGUGUUAAUUGAGAGCAUACUGCGCUUUAUUCAAAAUUUCCUGUAGGGCAUAAAAAUGCAAGGACAUCCUUCAAUGGCACUUCUGUUGCUGUCAAUCUUACACAUCUAUUUUACAGAGACCUGUAAGAGGAUUCAUGAACUGCUGGAUAGCAAAUUUGUCUUCAUUCACGGCUAACUAGGGCAAUUGCAGUCCCUGCUUUUGUUUGUGUUUUUUUAUCAUAUGACAUUAUUGGAAAAUUUUACGUUUUAGAUUACAGCCAGGUAAGCUAUCAGCGCCAUGGCAAGAUUUAAUUAAAAAUUUAGUUUGUCAACGCUGUUCAGUAAGAAGCCAAUUUGUUCUGAACGAAGUAUCACAUAAUGGCAAAUUACAGUCUGCAGGUUUACGUAGCGCUAAUGCUACAAUAUCUUUUUGUCUCCCAUUAGCUGGAUUUAAGGUUACAUUCAUUCUUUCAUAAAAUUUAAAUGGCACUUAUGUUGUUGCCUUAUUUGCCGUUUUGACUUGGUUCAGUAUUUGUUAAUGAUUAUGGUUAAAAUUAUGAAAAAAAAAAUUUCAAAACUUGAGUAAACUAAGUUCACAAAACCGACUACCGCUGUAGGUAGCAAGUGGCUUUCUGAUCUACCUGCGGCUGACGUGAUAACUCGUGUAUGUACGCUUCUAGCUAUAAUUUCCCUUGUGGCUGGGUACACUUCAUCUUUCAGGUAGAAAUCCUGAAAGCUUAAGAAAACCUCAGACAAUUAACAGCUUGAACCGCUUCGUGCCUUUCCUGCCUACUAACCUUUGAAUUGUUUUCGCGUCGAACCCAUCCUUUAAUUAGAGAGGCAAUGAGGGUAAAUAAACUUUAGUUCUAAUGAAAAUAAAAAAUGCGUAGACAUUGUUGGCAAUAUAAUUAUUAACAUUUACAAAUGCUCAACGUUUCAUUCUUGCCUAUAUUUUACAUUUCCCCAUCCACACUAGUAAAUUGGUGCUUCGAUGCCGCGGUUUAACAAUCAACGCCGUAAUUAGAUCAUUAAUAACAAGUGAUCGUUUUUAAUCUUUCGAUAUUUUAAUAACAAUUUUUUUCAUCAGCUAUGACAGUAUAAUGGUUUUGUGAAGGUGAUCUCACUUAUGCUCCCUCAUCCAUCGCACGGAACGAAUUAAAUCACUUGAGUUGGCCAGAAAAUCCUAAAAAACUAAGAACUCGAGGACAAUGGGUAUUUUUAUUUCAGGCGUUCUAGCAAACAAUGAACAUACUUAGUUGCUUCCGCUGGCGCGUGGUAGCUAUUACUGUUGCUAUACUCUUAUUAUUAGUUGUUUGUAGCGAGAUAAACUGCGUUAGUAAUGGUUGAAUUGCACAUCACAAAUGAGUGAAUUGUUCGAGCUUAUUUGCAAGAAAGUGAAAACUG